GUCCACGCCCUAAACGAUGUCAACUAGGUGUUGGGAGGGUAAAACCUUUUAGUACCGUAGCUAACGCGAGAAGUUGACCGCCUGGGGAGUACGGCCGCAAGGUUAAAACUCAAAGGAAUUGACGGGGACCCGAACAAGCGGUGGAUGAUGUGGAUUAAUUAGAUGCAACGCGAAAACCUUACCUACCCUUGACAUGUUCAGGAGUCCGAAGAGAUUUGGAUGUGCUCGAAAGAGAACUGGAACACAGGUGCUGCAUGGCUGUCGU
rnacentral:rRNA from 1 species